rnacentral:rRNA from 1 species
CCUACGGGCCGCACCAGUAGGGAAUCUUCGGCAAUGGACGAAAGUCUGACCGAGCAACGCCGCGUGAGUGAAGAAGGUUUUCGGAUCGUAAAACUCUGUUGUUAGAGAAGAACAAGUAGGAGAGUAACUGCUCUUACCUUGACGGUAUCUAACCAGAAAGCCACGGCUAACUAUGUGCCAGCAGCCGCGGUAAUACGUAGGUGGCAAGCGUUGUCCGGAUUUAUUGGGCGUAAAGCGAGCGCAGGCGGUCUUUUAAGUCUGAAGUGAAAGCCCUCGGCUCAACCGAGGAAGGUCAUUGGAAACUGGAGGACUUGAGUGCAGAAGAGGAGAGUGGGAUUCCAUGUGUAGCGGUGAAAUGCGUAGAUAUAUGGAGGAACACCAGUGGCGAAAGCGACCCUCUGGUCUGUAACUGACGCUGAGGCUCGAAAGCGUGGGGAGCAAACAGGAUUAGAUACCCCAGUAGUC